rnacentral:lncRNA from 1 species
CCUGACAUAGCUCAUGUACCUCCCAGCCGAUACUCCUCCUCUGGUUAAGGCGUUAGUAUAGAACUCCUUUACCAGUUCAAUGCUGGCUGGUGUAGGAUAUGUUGCCAGCCUCUCCCAGUCUUUCCUCAAGAUCUCUGCUCCAAACUCAGGAGCCAAGUCUGGAAUGAAAGCGGCCUUCUUCUCCAUCAGCAACCUCCUCUCCUACACGUUCACAUAAUGCUCCUCAUGCUUCCUAGAGAGGAACC